CUCNGAAUUAACCCUCACUAAAGGGACUANUCCUGCAGGUUUAAACGAAUUCGCCCUUGAGUUUGAUCAUGGCUCAGGAUGAACGCUGGCGGCGUGCUUAAUACAUGCAAGUCGAACGAGGAGCUUUUGUCUUCGUGAUGGAGGCUUCCUAGUGGCGAACGGGUGAGUAACGCGUUGGUGACCUGCCCCGAAGUGGGGGAUAACAGUUCGAAAGGACUGCUAAUACCGCAUACAAUCAGUUGGGUUAGAGACCUUCUGAUAAAAGGAGUAAUUCGCUUCGUCNAGGGGCCUGCGUCCCAUCAGCUAGUUGGUAAGGUAAUGGCCUACCAAGGCGAUGACGGGUAGGGGACCUGAGAGGGUGGCCCCCCACAAUGGCACUGAAACACGGGCCAUACACCUA
rnacentral:rRNA from 1 species